CAAACCAGGAGCCAGGAGCUUCUUCCAGGUCUCCCACGCAGGUGCAGAGGCCCAAGGACUUGGGCUAUCUUCCACUGCUAUCCCAGGCCAUAGCAGAGAGCUGGAUGGGAAGUGGAGCAGCCGGGACUAGAACUGGUGAACCCGUGCCCAUAUGGGAUGCCAGCGCUUCAGGCCAGGGCAUUGACCCACUGCUCCACAGCGCUGCCCCCCCCCCCUUUAUUUGACAGGUAGAGUUAGAGAGAGAGAGACAAAGAAGUCUUCCUUCCAUUGGUACACUCCCCAGAUAGCCACUAUGGCCAGUCCUGCACCUAUCCGAAGCCAGGAGCCAGGUGCCUCCUCCUGGUCUCCCAUGUGGGUGCAGGGGUGCAAGCACUUGGGCCAUCCUCCACUGUCCUCCCAUGCCACAGCAGAGAGCUGGACUGGAAGAGGAGCAACUGGGACUAGAACCCGGUGUCCAUAUGGGAUGCCAGUGCCACAGGUGGAGGAUUAACCAAGUGAGCCACAGCACCGGCCCCUAAAAUUUUUAUGACAUAAAAAAUUGUACAUAUUUAUGGAGUACCACAUGAUUUUUUAAAAAAAGAUUUAUUAUUUAUUUAUUUGAAAGGUGGAGUUGCAAAGGCAGAGAGAGAAGACUUCCAUCCACUGGUUCUCUCCCCAAAUGGUCCCAAUGGCUGGAGCUGUGCCAAUCUGAAGCCAAGAGCCAGGAGCUUCUUGGUCUCCCACGUGUAUGCAGGGGCCCAAGGACUUGGACCAUCUUCUGCUUUCCCAGGCCAUAGCAGACAGAUGUGUUGGAAGUGGAGUAACUGGGACACGAACUGGUGCCCAUAUGGGAUGGCAGCACUGCAGCUGUGAUUUUACCUGCUAUGCUACAGGGCUGGACCUCCCAGUGUGAUAUUUUGAUACAAGUAUAGUAUAAUAUCCAAUUGGGGUAAACAUGUCUGUCUCCUCAACACUUAACAUUUCUUUAUGGUGAAAACUUCCAAAAUCCUAUCUUCUAGUUUUCUCUUUUCUUUUUCUAGAGACAUAUACAGUGCUCUAGCAUGAUCUAUAGUCACCCUAUUGUGUGAUACAAUUCAGAAACUACUUGCUAUAACUUAGCACCUGCUAAUUAAACUUUCUCCAUCCCUUCCUCUCUGUUUUCCUCUUCAGCCUCUGGUACCCACCAUUAUACUUUUACAUCAAUGAAAUCACCUUUCUUUAGACUCCAUAUGAAUGAGAUCAUGUGAUACUUGUCUUUCUGUGCUUGGCUAAUUUCAUUUUAAUAAUGACCUCCAGUUCAUCCAUCUUUUUGUGAAUGACAAGAUGUCUUCCUUUUCAUGGUUGAGUAGUACUCCAUUGUGUAGUAGUUUCAUCUACUCAUUAGUGGGUGGACUCUUAGGCUGUUUCCAUAUCUCAACUAUUGUGAAUAGUGCUGUAAUCAAUAUGGGAGAGCAAGUGUCUCUCCAACAGACUGACUUAAUUUCUUGAAUAUACACCCAGUAGUGGAAUUGCUGAAUUGUGUGGUAGAUAUACUUGUAAUUUUUGAGGAAUUUUUUUUUUUUUUUUUUUUUAAUUUUUGACAGGCAGAGUGGACAGUGAGAGAGAGAGACAGAGAGAGAAAGGUCUUCCUUUGCCGUUGGUUCACCCUCCAAUGGCCGCCGCUGCAGCCGGUGCACCGCGCUGAUCCGAUGGCAGGAGCCAGGAGCCAGGUGCUUUUCCUGGUCUCCCAUGGGGUUCAGGGCCCAAGCACCUGGGCCAUCCUCCACUGCACUCCCUGGCCAUAGCAGAGAGCUGGCCUGGAAGAGGGGCAACCGGGACAGAAUCCGGCGCCCCAACCGGGACUAGAACCCGGUGUGCCGGCGCCGCAAGGUGGAGGAUUAGCCUAUUGAGCCACGGCGCCGGCUUUGAGGAAUUUUUUCUUCUUUUUAAAAGGUUUGUUUGGGGCUGGCACUGUGGCACAGUGGGUUAAAGCCUCAGCCUGCAGUGCCGGCAUCCCAUAUGGGCACCAGUUCGAGACCUGGUGCUUUACUUCCAAUCCAGCUCUCUGCUAUGGCCUGGGAAAGCAGUAGAAGAUGGCCCAAAUGUUUGGGCUCCAGCACCUGCAUGGGAGACCCAAAGAAGCUUCUGGCUCCUGGCUUCAGAUCAGCACAGCUUUGGCUGUUGUGGCCAGUUGUGGAGUGAACCAGCAGAAUGGAAGACCUCUCUCUCUCCCUCUCUCUCUGCCUCUCUGCCUCUCCUCUCUCUAUGUAACUCUGACUUUCAAAUAAAUAAUUCUUAAAAAAAGAAAUUUGUUUAUUUAUUUGAAAGGCACAGUUAGAGAGGGAGAAAUGGCCGAGAGAGGGAGAGAAUGAAUGAAUAUCCAGGGGCCGGCUCUGUGGCAUAACAAGUAAAGCCACCUGUGGUGCUGGCAUCCCAUAUGGGCGCCGGCUGGAGACCUGGCUGCUCCACUUCCAAUCCAGCUCUCUGCUAUGGCCUGGGAAAGCAGUGGAGGAUGGCCCAGGUCUUUGAGCCCCUGCACCAGCCUGGGACACCCAGAAGAUGCUCCUGGAUCCUGGCUUUGGAUCAGUACAGCUCCAGCCAUUGUGGCCAAUUGGGGAGUGAACCAGCAGAUGGAAGACCUCUCUCUCUCUCUCUCUCUGCCUUUCCUUCUCUCUCUGUUAACUCUGACUUUCAAAUAAAAUAAAUAAAUCUUUAAAAAAAAAGAAUGAAUAUCUAUCUGGUUUAAUCCUCAAAUGGCUACAAUGACCAGUGCUGGGCCAAGCCAAAGCCAGGAGGCUAGAACUCCAUUGGAGUCUCCCACAUGGGUGGCAGGGCCCCGAGCACUUGGGUCAUCUUCUGCAUUCUUAGACACAUUAACAAGGAGUUGGGUUGGAAGUGGAGAAACUAGGACUAGAACUAGCAACCACAUACAUGCCAGCAUUUCAGACAGCAACUUAACCCACUGUGCCACUCUGUCAGCCCCAAGGAAUUUCUGUGCUUUUUAUUAUAAUGGUUGGAAUAAUUUACAUUCCCACCAACAGUAUGCAAGAGUUCUCUUUUCCCCACAUCCUUGCCAGCUCUUUUUGUCUUUUGUCUUUUUGUUAAUAGCCAAUCUAACCUUAGUGAAGUGGUGAUAUUAGGGCAUUAUUUUUUGGAAAAAUAUAGACAAAGUAUAAUAAGAAAUACCUAAUUGCUUUAAAUUAAAAUGCAUAAUUAUACCUUGUUUUGGCCAAGAUAAUUAUAAGCUUCCCUUGAAUGUCAAAUGAAGUCUAUGUAUGUGGAAGUGCUGGACACAUGUGAAUUUACCAAGCAGGGAGUUACUUUUUGAUUGUUGUUCUUAAGAGGUUGUUUAGUUCCCUGUUGUACUUCAUCCAUAACUACAGUAAAGAAACCUAUCAUGCUUUAGUUGGCUUCACUGGAGCUGAGGGGUGGUGCCAGGUCUGGAAGAGCACCAGGAUGUGUCAGUCCCCUUGGGCAGCUGUAAUAGAACACUGAAACGACUCACAGCUUUGGAGGUCAGAAGUUCCAGACCAAGGGCCCGCCAUGAUCAGUUUCUCACCAGACCACUCUGGUUUGCUUCUAGAUGAUCUCCUUCUGCUGUGGCCUCACAUGUCCUUUCCCCUGUGUGUCCUUGGAGGGGGACAGAGCUCUCUGAUGAGUCUUCCUCUUAUACAUUGUCAUUGUAUUUACAUUCAUUGAUACCCUCCCUAUUUUCAGACCUGUUAUGUUGCCAUUCCCUCUCCCCUUUUCUUCACUAUACCUAUUUUUCCUAUAUCUUUGCUUUUAAUUGACACAUAAUUGUACUUAUUUAUGGGGUGCCAUGUGACAUUUCAGGACAGGUAUACAAUGUGCAAUGGCUUCCUUUCCUUGUAAGGACACCAGUCCUGUUGCCCUUGAGCCCUAACCUGUGGCCUCAUUUAACUUUAUCUCCUUGAAGGCUGUACGUCCCAAUACCAUCACGGAAGGCAUUCGAAAUUCAUGUGAAUUUGAAGGAGGGGGCACAGUCCAGUUCAUAACACGAAGAAGAUCUGGGAUUAUUCUGUAGUCUGUGAAGACAAGAAGUCAUAAACUUAGUUUUCUAGCAUCCUUUACUGGAACAUAAACUCCAGGGGCACAAGAAACAUGUCUACCCUGUAUACUGUGGCGCUCCUGGCACUUACUGCAGUACCUAUCAUUAUAAGUAUUUGUUGAACUAAGAAAUUAAGGAAUGUGUGAUUAAAAGGUGGGGGAAGGAGGCUCUUUCAAUGGUAAGAUAUGAGAUGCCAAGUGCCUGGAUUCAGUGGUUGUGGGAAUGAAGAGAAAGGGUGACUGUGAGUGACAAUAAGCAUUGAGAAUAAGAAGUGGGGGUGAAAAGAAAGGAAGACUCUGGUGUUGCUGGUGUUCUGUGACUGACAUGGCGAUCACUGUUCCUUUUGUGAGAAUCAAGCAGUUGAGAGAGAUUAGUUCCUUACUGCUAAUGCUCAUCCUGGAAUGAGAUGACUCCUAGGGCUUUUUCUUGGUUUGUGAAGCAGAAAGUCCUCAUGGCCACCCCCAGAUGGUUGCGGAGGUUUCUCUGAAGUUGUGAGAUUUCUUUCUCUUCCAGUAACAUUCACAGCUCCUCUUUCCUGGCCACUUUAAUCCUACUCUGGUGGCCCAAAGGUAGUUUGAAGCAGCAGAAUACACAUUUUCCUUCCCCUUCUAACAAUACUACUUGUUUUCUCUGUAGUUGCCACAGUAGAAAUAGAAAUUAUGGUUAUAUCUGGCAUGACACUGACGUAAAACUUCUAAGCACUGGUGCUCUUUAUUUCAAGAUUAUUUUUUUCUUUUCCUGACUGCUUCCUUGUCUUUAUAAGUCUAAGAGAAAUGACUCAAUAUGUUCUUUCUCAGUUCCCUAGCUGAGUUAUUUAUGAAUGGAAAUUUGCAUCUAAUAACAAUCUACUUUCUGAAACAGCUCAUAGUCACAGCAAUCUCAGUUUACAUUAGAAUCUUUUUGAACUUCUCCAUUAUCUCUUCUGAAUAAAUUAUUUUUAGCCAACUUUAAAUCUGAAAUGCAAAGAGGUACUCAAUAUAGAUUUGGAGUAAUUGGAUUACAUCUGCUAUAGGAUUUAGCAUCAUGAAAUUACUUGUUUAUCCUGAGUAAUUGGGAUGUUUUCUUCUAGCUUCUGCCCUAGCUAUUCCAAAAAGUCAAGAACCAAGUUUAAUGUUCAGACAUAAUUCCCUAAAAGGAUGUUAAUGUUCUUUUUAAAGAAAUUAUUUGAUUGGUGCUGCCAUAAUGGCAUAGUGGGUUAAGCUGCCAUCUGCUGUGUCAGCAUCCUAUAUGGGUGCCCCUUUUGGAGUCUUGGUUGUUCCACUUCCAAUCCAGCUUCCUGCUAAUGUGCCUGGAAAAGCAGUGGAAGAUGGCCCAACUCUUUGGGCUCUUGCACUCACGUGGAAGACCCAAAUGGAGUGUCAGUUUCCUGGCAAUUGCAGCCAUUUGGAGAGUGAAUCAGCUGAUGGGAGAUCUUUCUCCAUGUGUUUCUUCCUCUCUGUAACUCUGCCUUUCAAUAAAUAAAGAACAUCUUUUAAAAAAUUAUUUGAGAGGCAGAGAGAGCAAGUGAACACUCCUACCACUGGUUCACUCCCCAGAUGCUUGGGACAGGUAGGCCAAAGCUGGGAACUGGGAGCUCAAUCCAAGCCUCCUACACGGUUAGCAGGACUCCAUUUUCUUAAACCAUCAUCUGCUGCCCCCCGGGGAAAGCAUUAGCAAGAAGCUGGAGUCAGGAGCCAGAGGUGGGGACUCAAACCCAAGCACUCUGAUUUGGGACACUGGCCUAUUAACUGGUAUCUCAACCACUGGAUUAAGUGCCCACCCCAGUGUUAACAUUCUUUAUCAGUAGGCAACAUUUUGCAGAACCUUGAGAAUGGGGUUUGUUCACUGGAUUUGGACUUUUAUAAUUCACUGAUAAAAUGAUCUUUUGGAACCUUUCGUGAUAUUAAUGGCCAUCAAUUUUAGCAGAAUUAUUGUUCCUCUUUGUACAGAAAUAUUUAUAAUUCUCUGGGUAUUUUAUUACUUUUGGCAUUAAAGACUCUAACAAUUAGUGAAAGUGAAAUUGCAAUUAAUUAGUAAUUUAAAAACAUAAAUUUGAAAUGCAACACAAUUGAAAUAGAAAUUAUAGGAUUUUUUAAAAGAUUUUUUAAAAUAAUUAUUUUAUUUAUUUGAAAGGGUUACAGAGAGAGGUAGAGACAGAGAGAGGUCUUCCAUUCUGCUGGUUCACUCCCCAAAUGAGUGCAUCAGCCAGAGCUGAGCUGAUCUGAAGCCAGGAGUCAGGAGCUUCUUCCAGGUCUCCCACACAGGUGCAGGGGCUCAAGGACUUGGGCCAUCUUCUACUGCUUUCCCAGGCUAUAGCAGAGAGCUGGAUUGGAAGAGGAGCAGCCAGGACUCGAGCCAGCGCCCAUAUGGGAUGCUGGCACUGCAGGCUGAGGCUUUAACCCAUUGCGCCACAGUGCUGGCCCCAAUUAUAGGAUGUUUUAAUUAGGAUAAAGAUUCAGCUGCCUGAAUGAAGACCAAUAGCAUUUAAACAAGUCUCCUGUGACACAGAGUGCCGCAGUGCAAGGGGCAGGGACUGCACCUGUGUAUAUGUUGCCUCUGGUUUUUCUUCCCCUCUUCCUACAAAGUCACUGUGAUUCAGUCAGGUUGUUGGAUUAAGUCUCCACCCUCUUGAUACUUCACAUUGGGCCUUAAACUUCACCACAUAAAACCCUGCAGGGCACACUGAUAGCACUUAAAAUCCGUAGUACUGUGCAUUGAUGGAGAGUUAAUUCCAGGACCCCUGGCCCUGUGGACUCCAUCCAGACUCAGAGUGCUGCAAAUGCACUGGAAGAGCUCUUGGAGGACUGACACAGAGCCCUAAGUCCCUUGGCGUUUCCUGGGUGAUAGGAACACCUCUUGUUCUAAGGAUGUGAUCUCUGUGGGCUCCAGACUGGGGCACUGGGUACCAGAAAGACCCACUCCUGGUUGGAAGCUUGGUGCUGUCAGCUGCACCCUCUCUUCUGAGAGGACAGAUGUUCCACCUCACCUGCUGUGCCUUGUUGUCCAGGUGUUCAUAUGCAUCCUUUAUUGAUAAACUUGUAAACACAGUAAAGUAUUUUCUCCUGAGUGCCAUGCGCCACUCUAGCAAAGCAGUCCAACCCAAACAGGGGGAUUGUGGCAACUCUGAUUUAGAGCUGGUUGGUCGAGAGCACAGGUCACAACCUGAGGCUUUGUGAUUGGCGUCUGAGGUGGGGACGAUCUUGAGGUACUGAGACUUCAACCGACAGGAGCCGACGCUAUCUCAGGGUAGAUAGUGUCAGAACAGGAUAGAGUUAUGGCACCCUCCUGCAGAAUACCUCGGUCAGUGUGGGGGCUGGGAAUACCCACACCUUUUGUGUUAUCUUUUGUAUUGAGAGUGUGAGAGCAGAGAGAAAGAACUGUUUUUGUUAUUUGGAGACUGCAUCAAACACAGUGUUUAGGUACAUCCUAAAGGAAAAUUUCACUGGAUCCUUAGAUGCAAGUGCACAUAAUAUGCCAGAAAAAAAGUUGGUGUAGCAGCACAAUAUUAAGACAUAGUCUAGUUACAUUGUUGACAUUCAAGGAUGACAAGAGAAGUCUCAUCUCUGAGAAGGAGAUUUAGACUUGCUGUUGACUUCCCCACAAUGUUCAAAGCCAGGAGGCAAUGGAUACCUACAAACUUUUAAGGACAAGACAGCAUACCCAGCAAAAUUGUUGUUCUGUUAUAAAGUCAGCAAGCAUACCUCCUCCACCCUCCCUUCGAUCAUGAAGAUCACAGGGAAUGGUGCUCAUAACCUAGACUGCAAGAGAUUGAGAAUGUGCAGGCCCUUCUCAAGAUCAUUUCACACUGAAGUCCAGCCAAAGGAAUGAGUGAAGAUCAAGAAUUUAGGAGCAGUAAAAGUUCUAGAGAUAGGCACUGGAUCCAUUUUAAAAUAGAACAAAGAUAAAUAAUCAUGCGUAUCAUAACUGGGGCGGGUGCUGUCGCUCAGUGAGUUAAAGCCCUGGCCUGCAGUGUCGGCAUCCCAUAUGGGCGCAGGGUUUGAGUCCCAGCUGUUCCACUUCUGAUCCAGUUCCUUGCUCAAGUGCCUGGGAAAGCAGCAGAGGAUGGCCCAAGUGCUUGGGCCCCUGCACCCAUGUGGGAGACCUGGAAGAAGCUCCUGGCUCCUGGCUUUGGAUAGGCUCAGCUCUGGACGUUGCGGCCAUUUGGGGUGUGAACCGGAGGAUGGAAGACUCUCUCUCUCUCUCUUUUUCUCUACCUCUUUCUGUAACUAUUUUUCAAAUACAUAAAGAAAAUCUUUUAAAAAAGUAUCAUAACUGCAGACCACAGUACAAUGGUUAAUAACCUGACAAAGUAGAAUAGGAUAUAAAUAAUGAAAAAAAGGAUUGGCGAAAAGUUUAGGUAGGAUAAAUUAAGAUUGUAAUCACCUCAUCUUUCUCAGCAGAAAGUCAACCCGUCCCAUCUAAAAUUAAACCAUGCAGUGAAAAAAAUAAAAGUCCCUACCUUGGUCGAUUUCUAUAAUCUCUUGACUUAAGCUGAGAGCCAGUGAGGCUAGCCAGCAUCUGGGUGCCAUAUUCGCCUGCAGCUGUUUUUUGGUUUGGCCAAGCCAGUGCAGUGUCCUUAAAUAUUUUAAAAUCUGAAUGUCCUUGGGUGUGAGUCCUCUUGCCAGGGAACCCCUGUUUUGCACCUUUGUAUUUCACGCAUUUAGGGGCCUGCCUGUCCUCAUCUUUGGAAGACCCUUGAGGUACUAACAUUUCGUACAGUUAAGAAUUGUUUGUCUAAAGUGCAAUAAAAUAAUAACUGGCCAAUAGGUGCAUUCCUCUCAUUUGUUUUGUGAAAUGCCUUGUUCUGUGGCUUAACGAGUGAUGUUUUCCUGUAUGUUAUAAUGACAUAAAUCUGUCCCUGGCAAAUGUAGGUUCUGCUACUUCCACUUUCUUCUUAGCUUGGCAGUCAUUGGGCCUAUGAGUGUUCAUGAUGCACCGGGUGACUUUGGCGAACCAGCUCUCAGACCACAGAGGACUGCUCUAGGGGUAUCUAGCUCUAUUUAAAACCUUGGCGCUUGGCUUCUGUCACCUCUUAGCUAUUUCUUGGCUCGACUUCAACUCUCAGUCCUUUAAAUAGAGUACGGGUUGGAGCCAGAAGAAACAGCUGAUUGGCUGUGAAGGCUCGGUUGGAAAGUUCUAACUGAGGCUGAGCCGGUCAACAUUAAGAGCAACUGAGUGGGAAGCUCCAGAGUCCACUCUGAUGGCUUUAGGAGGGACAACUGAUGGUAGCCGGAGGCCUGGCAUUGCAGCAGGGGACAAGAGAUGAGGCAUUGUAAAAAGAAUCGUAGACUUCAGUUAGUAUUUCCACAUACAGCUGGAAGGGGUCCCAGUUUAAUGGAUCUGUUGAAGACACAACUAAUACUAUCUUAAAAAGCAAAACAGGGACUGAUUAAUACAUAAUGGAUUUAUUCUUUUUUUAAUGAAUCAGUAAAUAUUUUUAAACUUCUAAGAUUUAAUUUAUGUUAUAGUAAAUAUCAAUAGUUGUAACUUAGGACUGGUGUUGUGAUAUAGUGGGUAAGCCGUUGCCUGCAAUACUGGCAUCCCAUAUGGGUGCUGGUUCAAGUCGCAGUUGUUCUACUUCUAAUCCAGCUCCAUGCUAAUCUGCCUGGGAAAGCAGCAGAAGAUGGCCCAAGUCCUUGAGCCUCUGCACCCAUGUGGAGACCCAGAUGAAACUCCUGGCUUUAGCCUGGCCCAUCCCCAGGCCAAACCUCUCCAAACAUUUAAGCAACUCUUGUAAAUAUGAAUACAUUUGAAUUAAUAUACAAAUUUCUGUUAAAAUUAUUUAUUUGAGAGGCAAACACACAUACACAUACAGACAGGGACAAGGACAGAAAGAGAGAGGUCCUAUCUGCUGGCUCACUCCACAAAUGCCCACAAUGGUGUAGGUCAGGCCAGAACUGGGAGCUGGAUUCUCAGGGUGCAUAUCACAGGAAGCCAGAGUCAAGAAUGGAGCCAGGACUGGAGCCCCGGAACUCUGAUAUGGGAUGUGGUGUCCCAGCCAGCAUAUUAACCUCUAGGCCAAAUGUCCACACCUAGAUUUAUAAACAUAGCAUAUAUUAAGGAUUAAAAUACUGUUUAAAAUUAUAAUACAAUUCUGUUACACAUCCUAAAAUAGUUUAAAAAAAUUGAAAAUUUCAAAAAAUCAUAGGGUUGUUUAUUUCCAUAAUAUAUCAGAUUCUCUUAAGCAUUUCAAGCAUCUUAAACUGCAAACACACUAAGAUUUUUUUUUUUUGAAGUUUAUGGUACAACACAAACUGACACUUGAGUUUGGUUACUUCAUCAUCCUUAUGUUUAUUUUUAUGCCUCCAUAGUGUUGUAGAGUCAGUAUCCAAUGAGCAAAUUCAUCAACUCAGUUGGAUGGGUAAAUGGGUCUUGAUACCCCCUGUAGGAUUAUGGGUUAGAUCAGUGGUUCUCAAACCUCUUGGUUUCAGCAUCUGUCCAAAUUCUAGAAAUUAUUGAGAUCUCAAAGAGCUAUUGUUUAUGUGAGUUAUAAUUUUUUAAAAAGAUUUUAUUUAUUUGAAAGGCAGAGUUAGAGAGGGAAAGACAAAUAUCUUCCAUCUGCUGGUUUACUCUCCAAAUGGCUGCAGCAGCUGGGGCUGGGCCAGGCUAAAACCAGGAGCCAGGAGCUUCUGAGUCUCCCACAUGAGUUUAGGGGCCCAAGAACUUAGAGAAUCUUCCAGUGCUUUCCCAGGCACAUUAUCAGGAAGCUGGAUCAGAAGUGGGGUAGCUGGGACCCAAACUGGCCCCACAUGGGAUGCAGGCAUCACAGGUGGUGGCUUAACCUGCUACACCACAACACCGGCCCUGAGUAACAACUAUGGAUAUUUUCUAUAACAGAAAUUAAAUCUGAGAGAUUUAAAAAUGUUUACUGAUUCACUGAACAUGAAUAAAUCCAUUACAUAUUAACAUAUAAAAAACAGUUUUCUGGGAUAAACUGCUUUUUCUAAAGCUCCUCUUCCAAAAUAAAUCAGAGACACAGUGGCAUUGUUUACUUUCUGCAACUCUUUUUCAAUGUCUGCCUUAAUUAGAGUUGUAUUCUUUUCUCUGCUUCUGUGUUCACUCUGGUGACAUCUCAGGUCAUGUAGUCUCUGGAAAGCACCACUAGAUACUAGUGAGAGAAUGAGAGAAUAAACAGCUACUACUUACAUGUUUUAUUAUGACAAAUAACUUUGACCUCAUGGAUUCUCCCAAAAAGGUCUUUGACACCCCAUGAAUCCGGACCACACUUUGAGAACUACCAAAGUAGUCAAGCCAGGACCUGGGUGCUCCAUACCUAGGUAAUUCUACACAAGUCACAGGUAACCAUCCUGAGCCCCUCUUAUGGCUGAUUUGUCUGCCGUGCCAAUGGAGGCAAGUCUAUGCCUUUCAUCGUGUGUCCACCAGGCAUCUUUUAGGUUUCAUCAUGACUCAGUGUCUUCAAAUGUUAUCUAAGAAGAUGGAGAUCUUUCUCCUGCAUGAUUGGAACUCAUGGAAUUCUCCAUUCCCUCAUUUAGAUUCUAAUAUUUCUCUUUGAUAUCUGGUUGGACAGGUUUUAUAUUUUAUAUAUUUUUCUUUUCUGGCUCUGGAUGGCAGUUUUAUGGUCACCUUACUGUUGGGACCCUAACUCAUGUUCUCUUGCAUGUAAUGGCUGCUUCACCUGUGUUCUACAGUAGCUGGUUGUUGGCUGGAGAAAUUGUAGAAGCACAACUCUGUCAGUAGGCAGGAAAUUGGACUGGGCCAAUGAUCGUAAAGUUUUUCAUCCUAAUAUUCUUCGCUCUUUUGAACCCUGAAAAUGUCCAGGCCUUUCUGAGGAUCAGUGUGGGACAGGCCCUGGUGCUUGCUUUCUCUCGGUUCGGUCUCUCCUCUUUCCCUCACGUGACAGACUAAUUGUAUUUAGAGCAUUCAGGUGUCCAGUUAACAAAAUGUUAUUCCCUGGAUCCUUUGCAUCUAGAUGCAGCCUCGUAACCUUGUUAUGGCCCAUGAAAUAUAAGCAAAAGUCCACAGGAUCAGGUUCCUGGAAAGUGAUUAUUUCUCUCUCUCUUUUUUUUUUUUUUUUUGACAGAGUGGACAGUGAGAGAGAGACAGAGAGAAAGGUCUUCCUUUUGCCGUUGGUUCACCCUCCAAUGGCUACCGUGGCCGGUGCGCUGUGGCCGGCGCACUGCGCUGAUCCGAUGGCAGGAGCCAGGUGCUUUUCCUGGUCUCCCAUGGGGUGCAGGGCCCAAGUUCUUGGGCCAUCCUCCACUGCACUCCCUGGCCACAGCAGAGAGCUGGCCUGGAAGAGGGGCAACUGGGACAGAAUCCGGCGCCCCGACCAGGACUAGAACCCGGUGUGCCGGCGCCACAAGGCGGAGGAUUAGCCUAGUGAGCCACGGUGCCGGCUUUAUUUCUCUUAUGAAAAAGGAGCACAUCUAGAACAUAUGAAUCUUUUUAUUUCUUCCUGUCUGAAGAAACAUGGAUGCAAUACUUAGAGAUAGGGUAGCUCUCUGUGACCAUGAAAUAGAAGGCCAUGGGGCUGGGGCUGCAGCAUAUUGAGUCAAGCUGUGGCCUGUGAUGCUGGCCUUCCCUGUGGGUGCUGGUUGGUGUCUGGGCUGCUCCACUUCCAAUCCAGCUCCCUUGCUAAAGCACCUAGGAAAAGCAGUGAGGAUGGUGCAAGUGCUUGGGCCCCUGUACUCACGUGGGAGAGCAGAUGAAGCUUCUGGCUCCUGGAUUGUGACUGGAGUGAACGAGCAGAUGGAACACUUCUCUCUGUCUCUCCCUCUCUGUCUGUAACUCUGCCCUUCAAAAUAAAUAAAUAAAAACCUUGGAAAAAAGAGCCGCAUACUAAAACCAGAUGAUCAUGAAGUAAGAGUAGCCUCCUUCUGGAUUUCUUGCUACAUGACUAAAAGAUUCUUUCUUGAAGACACCGUAAAUGAGGUUCUGUUACCUGUAGGCUAACACAAACCUAGCUAGGAUAAUGGAGGUGAAGGUGGGGGUGGGAAGUGCCUCAAUUUAACUCAGCUUAAUUGUCAAUACAUUCUGUACUAACCAGUUAGGUUGCUUUAGCCUUUAAGGAGGUCAUUUCACCACUCAGGUAUUUUGACAAAGUUAAUGCCAUGGUGCAGUACAAAAGAGUGAUUUUGGAAUCGGGCAGAAGAAUCCUGGCUCUGCAUCAAGAACUGUGUGACCUCAGGCAAGUUACUUAAUCCCCUUGAGCCUUAGUUUCUCAUCCAUGGAAAGGAGAGUAGGAUUUAAUACCUCCUGGUUGUUGUGAGGAUUAAAUGAGAUAACAGAGAAAAUCUCUUGCACAUAGUCAUGUGGGUCACAAAGUAAAUAUUCAAGAAAUGGCAGGCACUGUUUCUCUUUCUGUUACAGAAGUAAAUUAGUCCCGUUCAUUUUCAGUGACAAAGAUUCCAGAUCUAUCGCCUACUAGUUUGAAGUGUAACAAAAAUAGAACAGGAUUUUUACAUGCUGAUGAUUAUGCAAAUAUUUGGACAGUAAACCAGAUAAGGUGUGGUUGUCCAUGACAAGUGACAGGCUGUGCAAAGGGGAUGGGGAUAUCCAUAAAUCUAUGGAUGCACUGAAUGGUGACUCUUGGAGGUUAGGAGGUCAAGAGAUGAUAGUAGCUAUUAGCUAUUAAUAUUUCUUUCCUUUUUUAAAAUGGUUUUUGAACAUAUUUGUUACUACAAUUUAUUAUACCCUCUUUGGCAAAAGGUAUAAUCCUGGUGGUCUUUGGCAAGAGGACAUUCACAUCAGCGUGAUUUAACUUUUGUUUUUUAAAAAGAUUUUAUUUAUUUGAGAGAUAGAGUUACAGACAGAAAGGAAGAGACAGAGAAAAAGGUCUUCCAGCCUCUGGGUCACUCCUCAGAUGGCCGCAGUGGGCAGAGCUGGGCUGAUCUGAAGCCAGGAGCUUCUUCUGGGUCUUCCAUGUGGCCGCAGGGGCCCAAGCACUUGGGCCAUCUUAUGCUGCUUUCCCUGGCCAUAGCAGAGAGCUGAAUCAAAGAGGAACAUCUGGUACAUGAACUGGUGUCCAUAUGGGAUGCUGGCACCACAGGUGGAGGCCAUGAUUUAGCUUUUGAUAUUAUGUGUGAAUAAGAAAUUAUAAUCAAGAUAAAAUUCUAACAACACAAUCAGGAUAAAGGUAAAAACACCUGAAGUUAUGUGCACAUAAUACUAACUCAGGACGUUGAAUGAAAAACUUGGAAAAUCUAUAAACUUGAUCUGAUGCAUAAUUAUAAGGAGUUAUUUUCAGGCGUCUUCUCAGUAAGUGGACAAGAUCCUAAGAUUUGUUAGUCUACAUGUUGUUUGUAAACAGUUAUUAAAAUAUUUCUAAGAAGCAUGUAUGGAAGUCUGGUUUGAAGGAAAAAAUACAUCAAACAAUUUUAAAAGUAAAAUGCACCCCAAAAAUGCCAGGUUUUCCAUUAAGAUGAUGAACCACAUACAAAAGGUAAAGAAUAUCCAGAACCUGCCACAUGAGGGCAGCAGGAAAAUCUCAUAAAUUAAGAAACAGUUUUUGAUGGCUUAUUCAUCACACAGUUAUUUAGAAACUACAUAAAAUUAAAUCUGAUAGUUUACAAAUACUUUCCAAUUCACUCUUUUUUUUUUUUUUUUUUUGGACAGGCAGUUAAAUGGAGAGACAGAGAGAAAGGUCUUCCUUCCUUUGGUUCACCCCCCAAAUGGCUGCUACGGCCAGCGCGCUGCGCCGAUCCAAAGCCAGGAGCCAGGUGCUUCUUCCUGGUCUCCCAUGCAGGUGCAGGGCCCAAGCACUUGAGCCAUCCUCCUUUGCCUUCCUGGGCCAAAGCAGAGAGUUGGACUGGAAGAGGAACAACCGGGACAGAACUGGCACCCAACCGGAACUAGAACCCUGGGUCCCGGCGUUGCAGGUGGAGGAUUAGCCUAGUGAGCCACGGCGCUGGCAAGAUUCUAGCUUUAACUCCAAGGUCAUGCUUGGUGACCAAGCUAUAAAUCACUGGUGAGCUGCAUGCCGUAAGGCUGUGAGAGUUGAUUACUUGUGUCUGUUCAAAUCUGUCAUUGAUGAAGUCACUUUGGUAGCUUGUUUGGUAGCUUGAGAUCACCCAUUGUGAAAGUUUUUACACCACCGAAAUUGUCAAGUACCACAAAUCAAGUCUCUUUCCUAUUCCACUGUCCUAAGAGCUAGUUGUCAGACAUUUGCCAGGAACAUUAUGGAUGAAGAAACAGAAUCUGGCUGUUGGGAGAGACCAAAUUUUUUUUUUUUUUUUUUUGACAGAGUGGACAGUGAGAGAGAGAGACAGAGAGAAAGGUCUUCCUGUGCCGUUGGUUCACUCUCCAACGGCCGCUGCGGCUGGCGCGCUGCGGCCGGCACACCGCGCUGAUCCGAUGGCAGGAGCCAGGUACUUAUCCUGGUUUCCCAUGGGGUGCAGGGCCCAAGGACUUGGGCCAUCCUCCACUGCACUUCCUGGCCACAGCAGAGAGCUGGCCUGGAAGAGGGGCAACCGGGAUAGAAUCUGGCGCCCCGACCGGGACUAGAACCCGGUGUGCCGGCGCCGCAAGGCGGAGGAUUAGCCUAGUGAGCCAUGGCGCCGGCCGAGACCAAAUUAUUAAGUAAGUAAAGGCAGAGAAGCCUCUGCAACCUUUGUCUUGAGUUGUUUGCUGGGUGGGAGAGACUUCUUUCUGGUGCUGUGGAGAGAAACGAGUCAAGCUGGAGUGAGGGUCUCCACCAGGACAUACCCCUCCCCUGGGACAUCUUCCAACCUCUUUCUGAGUCCCUCCUUUGUGGCAGGUGUUUCUCUGUGUCACACACAGAAACAGAAAUAAAACAGAAGCCCAACUGUAUCAGUCAGCUCAAGCUGCUGUAGCGAAAUACCACACACUGGUGUCUUGGACAAUAGAAAUUUAUUUCUCACAGACUAGUAGGCUGGGAAGUCCAAGAUCAAGGAACUGAACAGAUGAGGACUCUCUUCCUGGAUUGUAGAUGGUCAGUUCUCACAUGGCGGGGGGUGGAGAGCGAGCCAGUUCUCUGGUGACUUUUCUUAUAGGACACUAAUGCAAUCAGAUCACUCCUCUCCAAGAUCUCAUUUAAACUUUAUUACUUCUCUAUCCCAAAUAUAGUCACAUUGGGUGGUAGGGCUCCAACAUAUGAAUCUAGGAAGGACAACAGUUGAGAAGUUUGCUUUUCUUGAGGGAAGCAAAUAGGUAUGCAAAUAACUACAAUUUGUUAAAAAUGUAAGGAAAUUAUGCAUAUAUUUAUUAGUGAGGUAAGAAUUUGUCACACGUAUUGCAAGUAACUUUUUAAAAAUGAUUUAUGAAUCUUCUGAGGAAGAAAUCCUUUCUUACAAUGGAGUAUAAGAAAAAUAAAGGCUCAGAUUAUAAAGACCUCGUCACAUUGUCCCAAGCCAUGGUGUUAGUGUGCAGUUAGAGAAACCAAAAGGAUCCCGAUUAACAUCUCCUGUUUUCCAGGUAACCUGAUAAACAGGGCCAACUUUCUAUGUCUGCGGUUGGCUUUCUUUUCCCACUCAGUAAUUAUUUCCUGGAAUCUCACCAGGUUGUUGAACAGGAAGGGAAUUCAUGGGUCACUUCUGGUUUCCUGAGACUACAGGGCCAUGCCUUGCUGUGUCCUGGGUUCUUUUAACAUAUGUGCAGUCUUUUAGCUUCACUUUUAGAACAAAAGAAUAUUUCUGUGUUAAAGGGAUUUCAAGAGCUGAUAGAGAUGUUGGAGGUGAGAAAGAAGAGCAAUAUGAAAUUUACUCCCCAUUAAAACUCUUGACCGAGCCACAGAAUAGAGAGGUAAUGAGAAGAGGCUGGGGAAGGAAGGAUUUCUGUAAUUUUCUGUUGUUCACCUACAUACUCUUUUAUUUCUCUUGGCGAGGUCCAGGAGAGGCUUGUUCAGCUGAUGGUGCUGGGGAAGAACAAUUUCUGGGAGCUAUGCUUGUCAGCAGUGAACUUGUGUCCCUCUGUCCCCAACUCCUUCCGUGACAGCCAGCCCUCCCUGCCCCAGGACAUGUAAGAACUUUGUUUCUUCCUUGGGAUCCUCCACCAUCAUCUGCUUACCUUCUCUUCAGUCCUUGUGGGGUUCAGGAAGUGGUUAAUACAUAAGAACCAAUCAUGGCCGGCGCCGCGGCUCACUAGGCUAAUUCUCCGCCUUGUGGCGCCGGCACCCCAGGUUCUAGUCCCGGUCGGGGCGCCGGAUUCUGUCCCGGUUGCCCCUCUUCCAGGCCAGCCCUCUGCUGUGGCCAGGAAGUGCAGUGGAGGAUGGCCCAAGUGCUUGGGCCCUGCACCCCAUGGGAGACCAGGAGAAGUACCUGGCUCCUAGCUUCAGAUCAGUGCGCUUUGCUGGCCACAGCGCGCCAGCCACGGCGCCCAUUGGAGGGUGAACCAACGGCAAAGGAAGACCUUACUUUCUGUCUCUCUCUCUCACUGUCCACUCUGCCUGUCAAAAAAUAAAUAAAUAAAUAAAAAAGUUAAAAAAAAAAAGAACCAAUCAUUACAAUUCCAAAAAAUCUGUGAGACAGUUGUUAAACACAGCCAUCAUUGGAAAUUAAAGUAUAUACACUUACAGCUAAAUCAGUUACAUGAAAAAUAAAGACAGAUGAGGCUAUCGUUGUGACAGAGGGGCAAGCUGCUGCCUGCAAUGCUGGCAUCUCAUAUGGGUGCUGGUUGGAGUCCCAGCUGUUGCGCUUCCAAUCCAGCUCCCUGCUAAUGUGCCCGAGGAAAGCAUUAGAAGAUAACUCAAGUCCCAGGGCCCUGCCCCCAUGUGAGAGACCUGAAAGAAGCUCCUGGCUGUUGUGGCCAUUUGGAAAGUGAACCAGUGCAUGGAAUCUCUCCCUCUAUAACUCUGCCCUGUACAUAAAUAUAUAAAUCUUAAAAAGAUACGCGAAGUUCCUUACUCCCCAGUCAUUUUACAACACUUUUCUAUGAUUUGAGUUCUUGGGGUUGUUUGUGUCCGUCCUGUGUGUAUGGUGGAAAUGCUGCAUGCUGACACACGACUGCAGUGCUCCUCCUGACUCUGUUCCCCGUGUCCUGUGGCAUCACCUUGCUUGCUUGAAGCUGACCCUGAUGCUCCCAUAUGCUACAUGGAAAUCUGUAAAUGCUGCAAGUCAGGGCCUGCUUUAUGUUUUAAUAUUAUUUACACCUAAGAAAGUGAUAGAGAAAAUGCUAGUAAUGCAGAUUAAGUUUAAAAGUUUUUAAUGUCUACAGUAGUCACAUUGCAUAAAAAUUGAAGAUAUAUUUUUCCAGUACCCAAAGCUAGUAUCUGAUUCAGUGAAAAGCUGCUUACCUCUUUGACGAAUGAACCAAGUUCUGACUUAAGUCUUCAUUGUUUCACUUUCAUCUUGCUUGUUAACACAACUGAAUAUAUCUGCCCACAUUCAUGUUGGAACUAUGUUGUGUUUCUUACCACAGUUGCAACUCUACAUUGAUUAAAGGUAUGGGUUCAAGAAAAAUCCGUGAAGGCAUUCCAUGAGAAUCAGUUGUUUGCACUGAUUUUAUAUAGAGUAUUGUGUUUUAUUAUCUGUAAGUUCUGUGCUGCACAUCCUGUAUGUCAGUAAAUUUUAUAACAAACCUAGGUAGCUAUAUAUACACAAAAAGCUUUAUCUGGGAGAGUGAAGGCAUUGUUAAUCAUUUACCAGCACGCCGCUGCUUUCUGUUCCUCAGCACUGAGUGCAAUCUCAGCUCAAGAACCAAAUGGCUAUUUUUAAAAAUCUAGGGAGUGGACAUGUGGCCCAUCAGUUAAGCUACUGCUCAGAAAGCUUGUAUUUCAUAUCAGAGUGCCUAGUUUGAGCUCUAGAGUCUGAUCCUGAUCCAUUUUCCUGCUAAUGAGCAUCCUGGGGGGUGCAGCAGAUGAUGGCUCAAGCUCUUGUGUCCCUGCCAUCCAAGUGGGAGACCUGGAUGGAUAUGCGAGCUCCUGGCUUUGGCUUGGUCCAUUCCUGGCUUCAUUUAGGCAUUUGGGGGGUCGGGGGAGUGAACCAGUGGACGGAAGAUCUCUCUCACUCUGUCUCUCCAUCUCUGUCUCUCGGCUGGUGCUGUGGCAUAGCAAGUAAAGCUGCCGCCUCAAGUCCCAGCUGCUCCACUUCUGAUCCAGCUCCCUGCUAAUGUGCCUGGAAAAGCAGUGGAAGAUGGCCCAAGUGCUUGGGCCCCUGUACCUAUGUGGGAGACCCAGAAGAAGCUUUUGGCUCCUGGCUUUGGAUAGGCCCAGCCCUAGCCAUUAUAGCCAUUUGGGAAGUGAACCUGCCAAUGGAAGAUCUCCCUCUCUGCCUCUGCCUCUCUGUAACCCUGCCUUUCAAAUAAAUAAAUACAUCUUUUUUUUUUUUUUUAAGAAUGUAAGCUCUUUAAUUGCAGAAAACAUUCUAUUGUAUUCAGAGUCAUUUUCUCAAAGCCUAACUUGAUGCCUGGCACAUGGCAGGGCUCCAUAAACAUUCUUUGAAUGAAUGAGUAAAUGGAUGAAUGAGUGAGUCCAAAUCCUAACCUUCAUCUUCCUGCUGUCCAAGAUCCACAUACAUUUUUCUUUGAGUUAACAUAAUUUUAAAUAAUGAAUUUUUACAGUUUCUUUGUUUUUAAAAGAAUGAUUUAUUUAUUUGAAAGGCAGAGUUACACAAAGAGAGACAGGGAGGGAGAGAGAGAGUCUUUCAUCCACUGGUUCACUCCCCAGAGCUGGGCUGAUCUGAAGCCAGGAGCUUCUUCUGGGUCUCCCAUGCAGGUACAGGGGCCCAAGGACUUGGACAUUCUUUUACUGCUUUCCCAGGCCACAGCAGAGAGCUGGAUCGGAAGUGGAGCAGCCAGGAGCCAAACCCUUACGGGAUGCUGGCGCUGCAGAGUUACAGAGAGAGGGAGAGACAGAGAGAAAGGUCUUCCAUCCACUGGUUCACUCUGCAAAUGGCUGCAACAGCUGGAGCUGCGCCAAUUCGAAGCCAAGAGCCAGGAGCCUCCUCCGGGUCUCCCACGUGGGCAGGGGCCCAAGCACUUGGGCCAUCCUCCACUGCUUUCUCAGGCCACAGCAGAGAGCUGGAUCGGAAGAGGAGCAGCUGGGACCAGAACAGGAGUCCACAUGGGAUGCCGGCACCUCAGGCCAGGGCUUCAACCCACUGCACCGCAGCGCCAGCCCCCUUCUCUUUUUCUCUCUCUCCCUCUUUCCCCCUUUUUUCCUCCCUCCCUCCUUCCUUCCCUCCUUCCUUCCUUUCUUCUUUCCUCCUUCCCCUCUCCUCUCCUCCCCUUCUCUCCCCUCCCCUCGCC